GAAACCUGGCGGCGUGCUUAACCAUGCAAGUCGAACGGAGUAUUCCGCCCGAGACCUGAUGUAGCUUGCUAUGGAUGGGAUCAAUUGGAAUACUUAGUGGCGGACGGGUGAGUAACGCGUGAGUAACCUGCCCUUGAGUGGGGAAUAACACCGAGAAAUCGGUGCUAAUACCGCAUAAUGUCGAGAGAACCGCAUGAUUUUCCGACCAAAGGAUUUACUCGCUUAAGGAUGGACUCGCGUCCGAUUAGCUAGUUGGUGAGGUAACGGCCCACCAAGGCAACGAUCGGUAGCCGAACUGAGAGGUUGAUCGGCCACAUUGGGACUGAGACACGGCCCAGACUCCUACGGGAGGCAGCAGUGGGGAAUAUUGGGCAAUGGGCGCAAGCCUGACCCAGCAACGCCGCGUGAAGGAUGAAGGUCUUCGGAUUGUAAACUUCUUUGAUCAGGGACGAAUUUUGACGGUACCUGAAGAACAAGUCACGGCUAACUACGUGCCAGCAGCCGCGGUAAU
rnacentral:rRNA from 1 species